UAGAUGUAAGUUCUGCACUCAGUGAA
rnacentral:piRNA from 1 species